GAACAGAUAGGUUUUGUCCUGGCCUUUUUAUUAGCUCUUAGUAAGAUUACACAUGCAAGCUUCCCUGCCCCAGUGAAAAUCCCCUCUAGAUCACCGGAUCAAAAGGAGCAGGUAUCAAGCACGCACGAAUGCAGCUCAAAACACUUUGCUUAACCACACCCCCACCGGAAACAGCAGUGAUAAAUCUUUAGUAAUAAAUGAAAGUUUGACUAAGCUAUACUAAUGUUAAGCGUUGGUUAAUUUCGUGCCAGACACCGCGGCCAUACGAUUAACCCGAGCUAAUAGGACUCGGCAUAAAUAGUGUUUAAGGUCUACCUUCAAUAAAGCUAAACCCCAUCUAAGUUGUAAAAAACUCCAGCUGAAAUAAAAUAUACUACGGAAGUGGCUUUAAUACCCUGAAGACACAAUAGCUAAGAUGCAAACAUUAGUUACCCCACUAUGCCUAGCCCUAAACUCUAAUAGUUACAUUAACAAAAACAGUCGCCAGAGUACUACAACAGCUUAAAAUUCAAAGAACUUGGUGGUGCUUUAUAUCCCUCUAGAGGAGCCUGUUCUAUAACUGAUAAACCCCAAUACACCUCACCACCUGUUGCCCCCCAGCCUUAUACUGACUGCUAUCUUCAGCAAACCCUUAAAAGGCUAUAGAGUAAGCACAAGUACGCACAUAAAAACAUUAGGUCAAAGUGUAGCCCAUAAGGUGGCAAGAAAUGGGCUAUAUUUUGUAUGUCCAGAAAAUCUCAUGACAAUCCUUAUGAAAUCUAAGGACUCAAGGAGGAUUUAGCCAUAAACCAAGAGCAGAGCACUUGGUUAAAUAAGGCCGUGAAGUACGCACACACCGCCCAUCACCCUCCUCAAAUAUUACUCUAGAAAUCACUAUUACUAAUAACUUUCCACAUGCAUACAGAAGAGAUAAGUUGUAACAUGGUAAGCAUACUGGAAAUUGUGCUUGGACAAACCAAAAU
rnacentral:ncRNA from 1 species